rnacentral:rRNA from 1 species
UACGGAGGGUGCAAGCGUUAUCCGGAAUCACUGGGUUUAAAGGGUGCGUAGGCGGGCAGGUAAGUCCGUGGUGAAAUCUCUGAGCUUAACUCAGAAACUGCCAUGGAUACUAUUUGUCUUGAAUAUUGUGGAGGUAAGCGGAAUAUGUCAUGUAGCGGUGAAAUGCUUAGAUAUGACAUAGAACACCAAUUGCGAAGGCAGCUUACUACACAGUUAUUGACGCUGAGGCACGAAAGCGUGGGGAUCAAACAGG